GCUCGAAGCAGAGUUAACUGGAAUGCCGCUUCCAGAGGAGGCACAGUAAGCCGGUUUCGCGGCCGCGCAAAUAGUGUCGCCACUGGCAUUUCCCGCCAAAUUCCGGCUAUUUACUUUCCAUUGGCUCCGGUCUCCCACGUGACCCUUCUCGAUCAUGAUUGGCUGAGGCUCAUUUAACCGGUGGAUUCGCCCGCGUUCGUUUCUCCGAGGCGCCGACCCGUCUGACCGUUGUGUAGCUCGCGUCUGCCUAUGUGAGCAGGCGGUGAUUUCGUUUCGUGGAUUUCGAAGAUCUUCGAGCCAUGGAUGAACGCCUGAAUGAAAGACACCGACAGCUGUUCGUGGCCCUGCGAUCCGCGAGCAUGUGGCCCCUGUCACCAGAAAAUUCGACAGUUGUGCUGGGAUGAAGCGGAUGACUUCUGCGACUCAUCACGUGCUAUAGAUAUGUAUAAUAAUAUCUACUUUCUCCAAACCGAAUAGGUUCCCUUAAGGAUUGUAUAAUAUGAUAGUCACGCUUUCUGUUGCUCGGCGCUAUUUAUUCUCUGUUUAUUCUGCAGUAUUCUGUAAUAAUCGUGUAGAUUUACUUGCAUUCAAAUGUUGCUUCUUGUGUAUAUGUUUACCGUGUCAAUAAAUUUGUACAUGUGAA